UACGAAGGGGGCUAGCGUUGCUCGGAAUUACUGGGCGUAAAGGGCGCGUAGGCGGCACUGUUAGUCAGGCGUGAAAUUCCUGGGCUAAACCUGGGGACUGCGCUUGAUACGGCAGAGCUUGAGGAUGGAAGAGGGUCGCGGAAUUCCCAGUGUAGAGGUGAAAUUCGUAGAUAUUGGGAAGAACACCGGUGGCGAAGGCGGCCAACUGGACCAUUACUGACGCUGAGGCGCGAAAGCGUGGGGAGCAAACAGG
rnacentral:rRNA from 1 species